AUUCAAAUUUGUUUAAAAUUUUGUGUAAGUGUCAGCACGUCGGUGCGGCGCGUCGAUGGUCGGUAACUCUGAUUAGUUUAAUCUGAUAUUGAAUGAUGAUGAUGUGCUUAAAAAAUUACCGACGUUUCGCUAUCCUCUUUCAGUCCUCCUUGUUCAGCCUCUCCAGCGGCGGAGGGAAAGAGGCCGCCUCAAAUUUUCUUUUUAAUUUACUUUAUUAUAAAUUGUUGAUUUUUUGAUAUUUUGUCUAAUUUUACAAUAAAAAAAAAAAAAAUCAGCCUUCUAGUAUAGUAUCUUGGCUCCGUCACUGUUAAUUAUCGCUGAUUCGAUUAAUGCUUUAAUAUGCAGUUUAAACGAAAGAGAAGUGCAAGGGAAGGAUUCAAGUGAGGAAAUCCUAUGGCGUCAGCUGUGGAGUGCAGAUAUGGAUGUGAUGAUUGAAAGAUUAUCAAGCAAUAGCAAAGACCUGUCGAAACUUGCAAGAAAGCUCCUGCGGUUCAUUUCAAGCAACAAACUAAAAUUUGGGCUUCAAAAACCUGCAAAUAAUGUUUCUAUUCUAGAGCAGAGGAUUCGUGAAGAUGGAACUCUAUGAUCAAGAACUUAAGAUGUAUACUGUAAGUAUUAAACCUCGAAAGUCUAAACUGAACAUAUACAGAGUUUUAUUUGCUGUCUAAGUCUGAACCUUUGCACAAGAAGAUGUUGAUUAAUGCAACCCAAAGGGAUGGGAUGAUGAUUAUAAGCCAUGCCCAAUUCCUGUAUUUCCGAAAGCUUCAACACUUGGAUGAUCCGGGUCAAAACUG